AUUGAACGCUGGCGGCAUGCCUUACACAUGCAAGUCGAACGGUAACGGGCCUUCGGGUGCCGACGAGUGGCGCACGGGUGCGUAAUACAUCGGAACGUGCCCGAUCCUGGGGGUUAACGAGGCGAAAGCUUUGCUAAUACCGCAUACGAUCUACGGCUGAAAGCAGGGGACCGCAAGGCCUUGCGCGGACGGAGCGGCCGAUGGCAGAUUAGGUAGUUGGUGGGAUAAAGGCUUACCAAGCCGACGAUCUGUAGCUGGUCUGAGAGGAUGAUCAGCCACACUGGAACUGAGACACGGCCCAGACUCCUACGGGAGGCAGCAGUGGGGAAUUUUGGACAAUGGGCGCAAGCCUGAUCCAGCCAUGCCGCGUGCGGGAUGAAGGCCUUCGGGUUGUAAACUGCUUUUGUACGGAACGAAAAGCCUUCUUUUAAUACAGGAGGGUCAUGACGGUACCGUAAGAAUAAGCACCGGCUAACUACGUG
rnacentral:rRNA from 1 species